CAGGUCACUCCUACGGGAGGCAGCAGCAACGAAUCUUCCCCAAUGCCGGAAACGGUGAGGGAGCGACGCCGCGUGAAGGACGAAGUACUUCGGUAUGUAAACUUCUGUAAGGGACAUGAAAGGUUAGCGCCUAACACGCGCAAAAUUUGAUCUGUCCCCUAAAAGGGGCGGCUAACUCUGUGCCAGCAGCCGCGGUAAUACAGAGGCCCCGAGCGUUACUGAGAAUCACUGGGUUUAAAGGGUGCGUAGGUGGUCCGUUAAGUUCGUUGUGAAAGCCCUGGGCUCAACCCAGGAACUGCUUCGAAUACUGGCGGACUUGAGGCUAGUAGGGGUUACUGGAACUGACGGUGGAGCGGUGAAAUGCGUAGAUAUCGUCAGGAACGCCAAUGGUGAAGACAGGUAACUGGGCUAGUUCUGACACUGAGGCACGAAAGCGUGGGGAGCGAACGGGAUUAGAUACCCCGGUAGUCCACGCCCUAAACGAUGCAGACUAGACUGCAGCGGGUUACACCCCGUUGCGGUCGGAGCGAAAUUGUUAAGUCUGCCACCUGGGAAGUACGGUCGCAAGGCUAAAACUCAAAGGAAUUGACG
rnacentral:rRNA from 1 species